GAUAACCUACCUAUAAGACUGGGAUAACUUCGGGAAACCGGAGCUAAUACCGGAUAAUAUUUUGAACCGCAUGGUUCAAAAGUGAAAGACGGUCUUGCUGUCACUUAUAGAUGGAUCCGCGCUGCAUUAGCUAGUUGGUAAGGUAACGGCUUACCAAGGCAACGAUGCAUAGCCGACCUGAGAGGGUGAUCGGCCACACUGGAACUGAGACACGGUCCAGACUCCUACGGGAGGCAGCAGUAGGGAAUCUUCCGCAAUGGGCGAAAGCCUGACGGAGCAACGCCGCGUGAGUGAUGAAGGUCUUCGGAUCGUAAAACUCUGUUAUUAGGGAAGAACAUAUGUGUAAGUAACUGUGCACAUCUUGACGGUACCUAAUCAGAAAGCCACGGCUAACUACGUGCCAGCAGCCGCGGUAAUACGUAGGUGGCAAGCGUUAUCCGGAAUUAUUGGGCGUAAAGCGCGCGUAGGCGGUUUUUUAAGUCUGAUGUGAAAGCCCACGGCUCAACCGUGGAGGGUCAUUGGAAACUGGAAAACUUGAGUGCAGAAGAGGAAAGUGGAAUUCCAUGUGUAGCGGUGAAAUGCGCAGAGAUAUGGAGGAACACCAGUGGCGAAGGCGACUUUUCUGGUCUGUAACUGACGCUGAUGUGCGAAAGCGUGGGGAUCAAACAGGAUUAGAUACC
rnacentral:rRNA from 1 species